rnacentral:tRNA from 1 species
UGGCAGGCUGUAGUCCUGUAGACAUUGGUUUAAUUCCUUUCAUUUAUC